GAUGAAGAACGUAGCGAAAUGCGAUAAGUAAUGUGAAUUGCAGAAUUCAGUGAAUCAUCGAAUCUUUGAACGCACAUUGCGCCCCCUGGUAUUCCGGGGGGCAUGCCUGUCCGAGCGUCAUUACAACCCUCAAGCUCAGCUUGGUGUUGGGCCCCGCCGCCCCGGCGGGCCCUAAAGUCAGUGGCGGUGCCGUCCGGCUCCGAGCGUAGUAAUUCUUCUCGCUCUGGAGGUCCGGUCGUGUGCUCGCCAGCAACCCCCAAUUUUUUUCUAGGUUGACCUCGGAUCAGGUAGGGAUACCCGCUGAACUUAAGCAUAUCAAUAAGCGGAGGA
rnacentral:misc_RNA from 1 species